rnacentral:lncRNA from 1 species
AAUUUAAAUAAGAUUAGUAUAAAUUUAGACACUAAAAUUAACUUUGCCACAGAAUCCAUCAACAUUGCAGCUUUUCGGUGAUCUUCGGUCACAAGAAUAUGAUUUGAAUUUAUGAAAUAAUAUAUAUAUUAACGUUUUUAUUUUUGUAUAAUUACAGUUUUAGACUAUUGAAUUAGAGGUUACCUCUCUAAUAUCUCCUUUUGGGAGUACCACCGAGUUUCUGAGCAGGUGCAGCUUUCAAAACAUUAUUCAUAGUUCUCAAACAUCUUACCGAGUCUUUUGAAGAAUUUUUUUAAAUGUUGGGAGUAUCAUUACUGUUUUUGGAUAUCAAUUUGUCCAAUAGAAUGAUUACAGUGUCACAAUUUACCUUUUCAAGUCUACCUAUACAAAGCAGAAAAAAGAUCAAUCAAUAACUUCGAAUGUAGAUAAAUAUAAUAUAACAGUUAAUCUUCAACACCAUCAAGGAACAGUAUUUUAUAUUGCAGGAUUUAUACAACAAUUGUGGCAAAUACUCCAAUAGAAAAUUCUACACAAAA